rnacentral:rRNA from 1 species
AUUGAACGCUGGCGGCAGGCUUAACACAUGCAAGUCGAACGAGUGGCGGACGGGUGAGUAAUGCUUGGGAAACUGGCUGAUGGAGGGGGAUAACUACGGGAAACUGUAGCUAAUACCGCCUACCAUCAGAUGUGCCCAGAUGGGAUUAGGUAGUUGGUGGGGUAACGGCUCACCAAGCCGACGAUCUCUAGCUGGUCUGAGAGGAUGACCAGACACACUGGGACGGAGACACGGCCCAGACUCCUACGCGAGGCAGCAGUGGGGAAUAGUGCGCAAUGGGGGCAACCCUGACGCAGCCAUGCCGCGUGAAUGAAGAAGGCCUUCGGGUUGUAAAGUUCUUUCGGUAGGGAGGCGUUACCUACAGAAGAAGCACCGGCUAACUCCGUGCCAGCAGCCGCGGUAAUAC